rnacentral:rRNA from 1 species
GGUUUGAUCAUGGCUCAGAUUGAACGCUGGCGGGAUGCUUUACACAUGCAAGUCGAACGGCAGCACGGACUUCGGUCUGGUGGCGAGUGGCGAACGGGUGAGUGUAUCGGAACGUGCCCUGAGAUAGCGGGGGAUAACUACGCGAAAGCGUAGCUAAUACCGCAUACGCCCUUCGGGGGAAAGCGGGGGACCUUCGGGCCUCGCACUAUUAGAGCGGCCGAUAUCGGAUUAGCUAGUUGGUGGGGUAACGGCUCACCAAGGCGACGAUCCGUAGCUGGUUUGAGGAGGACGACCAGCCACUGGGACUGAGACCUGGCCCAGACUCUACGGGAGGCAGCAGUGGGGAAUUUUGGACAAUGGGGAAACCCUGAUCCAGCCAUCCGCGUGUGCGAUGAAGGCCUUCCGGGUUGUAAAGCACUUUUGGCAGGAAAGAAACAGCACGGGAUAAUACCCCGUGCAACUGACGGUACCUGCAGAAUAAGCACCGGCUAACUACGUGCCAGCAGCCGCGGUAAUACGUAGGGUGCAAGCGUUAAUCGGAAUUACUGGGCGUAAAGCGUGCGCAGGCGGUUCCGGAAAGAAAGAUGUGAAAUCCCAGAGCUUAACUUUGGAACUGCAUUUUUAACUACCGAGCUAGAGUGUGUCAGAGGAGGUGGAAUUCCGCGUGUAGCAGUGAAAUGCGUAGAUAUGCGGAGGAACACCGAUAGCGAAGGCAGCCUCCUGGGAUAACACUGACGCUCAUGCACGAAAGCGUGGGAGCAAACAGGAUUAGAUACCCUGGUAGUCCACGCCCUAAACGAUGUCAACUAGCUGUUGGGGCCUUCGGGCCUUGGUAGCGCAGCUAACGCGCGUGAAGUUGACCGCCUGGGAGAGGUACGGUCGCAAGAUUAAAACUCAAAGGAAUUGACGGGGACCCGCACAAACUGGUGGAUGAUGUGGAUUAAUUCGAUGCAACGCGAAAAACCUUACCUACCCUUGACAUGUCUGGAAUCCCGAAGAGAUUUGGGAGUGCUCUGAAAGCGGAACACAGGUGCUGCAUGGCUGUCGUCAGCUCGUGUCGUGAGAUGUUAGGGUUAAGUCCCGCAACGAGCGCAACCCUUGUCAUUAGUUGCUACGAAGGGCACUCUAAUGAGACUGCCGGUGACAAACCGGAGGAAGGUGGGGAUGACGUCAAGUCCUCAUGGCCAUAUGGGUAGGGCUUCACACGUCAUACAAUGAAUGAGAAGGUGCCAGCCCGCGAGACAAUCCGGCCGAUCGUAGUCGGAUCCGCAGUCUGCAACUCGACUGCGUGAAGUCGGAAUCGCUAGUAAUCGCGGAUCAGCAUGUCGCGGUGAAUACGUUCCCGGGUCUUGUACACCGCCCGUCACACCGUAGGAGUGGGUUUUACCGAAAGUAGUUAGCUAAACCGUAAGGAGGGCGAUUACCACGGUAGGAUUCAUGUUGGGGUGAUCGUAACAAGGUAG